rnacentral:tRNA from 3 species
CAGGGUGUAGCUCAGCUUGGUAGAGCACGUGGUUUGGGUCCACGAUGUCGCAGGUUCGAAUCCUGUCACCCUGA